UAUAAAAUAGUGAAGCUGAGGUUUAGUAAAACCAAAUUUGGUGACGGUAUUGUGGCCGAAACUGAAAAUUUUACCUGCUACUUACCAAGAAGAUUUUACAUACAUUUUGAAAAGGAAGGUAUUGAAAACUUUAACGAUGCAUUAAGAAGUCGACCUGUAUAUAUGGUUAGUAAAGGAAAAAUUGGUACAACAACGAACAUUAUAUUUAUCCAAGAUGAAGCAUGAAAAUGGAUUAAUUAAAUGAUUAUUAAUAUUUGAUAAUGUUAUGUAUUUGAAAUAAACUUUUGUCUACAAUGUCUUAUAUUCCAUGUGAAUGUUUUGCAAUAGUUAGGAAAUAAAAAUAUUUGUAUUGAA